rnacentral:rRNA from 1 species
UACGUAGGGGGCAAGCGUUGUCCGGAAUCAUUGGGCGUAAAGAGCGUGUAGGCGGCCCGGUAAGUCCGCUGUGAAAGUCCAGGGCUCAACCCUGGGAUGCCGGUGGAUACUGUCGGGCUCGAGUCCGGAAGAGGCGAGUGGAAUUCCUGGUGUAGCGGUGAAAUGGCGCAGAUAUCAGGAGGAACACCAAGUGGCGAAGGCAGCUCGCUGGGACGUGACUGACGCUGAGACGCGAAAGCGUGGGGAGCAAACAGG